rnacentral:rRNA from 1 species
AUGAGCAUGCUUGUUAUGUGCGACACCACUUAUCUCAAAAAGGGAAACUUUUACUGGAUCAAAUUCAUCAUUUGCAAUGCUAUGCUUGGAAUUUAUGUGAAAUUUAUGAUUUUACUUGUUGUUCUAAAGACCCUAAGAAACACCUUCUCUAUCAAUGUUUGUUUAGUGAUAAUGGAAUCGUAUCUUCGUAUACUAAGGGUGUUUAUAAUUAUUAUGAUGUUCAACAAAUUGAAGAAUUUGUUGCUUUUAGGGGUACUUGUGAAAUUGCUUCUUUUAUUGAAGAGUGUGAUACUACUCUCUACAAAUCUGAAAAAUUGGCCAUACUUAAAUAUUGCUAUGAUAAUUAUGCUUCUAAUCCUUAUAUUAAACCAUAUAUUGAGGACUCCUACGCUGUCCAAGAAGAGACUAAUAUUUUGCAGGAGUCUAUGGAAGAAGAAAUUGAUGAAACUAUGA